UUUCCUACGGGGGGCAGCAGUGAGGAAUAUUGGUCAAUGGGCUUACGCCUGAACCAGCCAAGUCGCGUGAGGGAAGACUGCCCUAUGGGUUGUAAACCUCUUUUGUCAGGGAGCAACGCCGGCUACGUGUAGCCGGACUGAGAGUACCUGAAGAAAAAGCAUCGGCUAACUCCGUGCCAGCAGCCGCGGUAAUACGGAGGAUGCGAGCGUUAUCCGGAUUUAUUGGGUUUAAAGGGUGCGUAGGCGGGACCUUAAGUCAGCGGUAAAAUUGCGGUGCUCAACGCCGUAGAGCCGUUGAAACUGGG
rnacentral:rRNA from 1 species